UUGAACGCUGGCGGCAGGCCUAACACAUGCAAGUCGAGCGGAUGAAGGGAGCUUGCUCCUGGAUUCAGCGGCGGACGGGUGAGUAAUGCCUAGGAAUCUGCCUGGUAGUGGGGGAUAACGUCCGGAAACGGGCGCUAAUACCGCAUACGUCCUGAGGGAGAAAGUGGGGGAUCUUCGGACCUCACGCUAUCAGAUGAGCCUAGGUCGGAUUAGCUAGUUGGUGGGGUAAAGGCCUACCAAGGCGACGAUCCGUAACUGGUCUGAGAGGAUGAUCAGUCACAAGGGAAAUGAGACAGGGGCCAGACUCCUAGGGGAGGCAGGAGGGGGGAAUAUUGGAAAAUGGGAGAAAGCCUGAUACAGCCAUGCCGGGUGUGUGAAGAAGGUCUUCGGAUUGUAAAGCACUUUAAGUUGGGAGGAAGGGAAGUAAGUUAAUACCUUGCUGUUUUGACGUUACAAACAGAAUAAGCACCGGAUAACUUCGU
rnacentral:rRNA from 1 species